rnacentral:rRNA from 1 species
GACGAACGCUGGCGGCGUGCUUAACACAUGCAAGUCGAACGAUGAUGCCCAGCUUGCUGGGUGGAUUAGUGGCGAACGGGUGAGUAACACGUGAGUAACCUGCCCCUGACUCUGGGAUAAGCGUUGGAAACGACGUCUAAUACUGGAUAUGAUCACUGGCCGCAUGGUCUGGUGGUGGAAAGAUUUUUUGGUUGGGGAUGGACUCGCGGCCUAUCAGCUUGUUGGUGAGGUAAUGGCUCACCAAGGCGACGACGGGUAGCCGGCCUGAGAGGGUGACCGGCCACACUGGGACUGAGACACGGCCCAGACUCCUACGGGAGGCAGCAGUGGGGAAUAUUGCACAAUGGGCGAAAGCCUGAUGCAGCAACGCCGCGUGAGGGAUGACGGCCUUCGGGUUGUAAACCUCUUUUAGUAGGGAAGAAGCGAAAGUGACGGUA